rnacentral:rRNA from 2 species
AAAUUGAAGAGUUUGAUCAUGGCUCAGAUUGAACGCUGGCGGCAGGCCUAACACAUGCAAGUCGAACGGUAACAGGAAGCAGCUUGCUGCUUCGCUGACGAGUGGCGGACGGGUGAGUAAUGUCUGGGAAACUGCCUGAUGGAGGGGGAUAACUACUGGAAACGGUGGCUAAUACCGCAUAACGUCGCAAGACCAAAGAGGGGGACCUUCGGGCCUCUUGCCAUCAGAUGUGCCCAGAUGGGAUUAGCUUGUUGGUGAGGUAACGGCUCACCAAGGCGACGAUCCCUAGCUGGUCUGAGAGGAUGACCAGCCACACUGGAACUGAGACACGGUCCAGACUCCUACGGGAGGCAGCAGUGGGGAAUAUUGCACAAUGGGCGCAAGCCUGAUGCAGCCAUGCCGCGUGUAUGAAGAAGGCCUUCGGGUUGUAAAGUACUUUCAGCGGGGAGGAAGGUGUU